rnacentral:lncRNA from 1 species
AUGCAGUGGGUUACUGUGGUUAACAUUGCGUGCUUGUUUGCUUUUAUUUUACUGUGCUGCAAAUAUGGCAAGCAGUGUCUUCGCUGUCCGGCGCGCACUUCCGUCCACCACACUGCGUUUCCCGAAGUCUUGACAGCGCUCCACCAAACGCGGGAUAUUGACACAAUCCUGCAACAACAACAAAAAAGAACUGAAUCUGAGCAGGCUCUACAGCUGUGCUUUCACAGUUAUGAAGGUGACUACAAACUCAGCACAUUUUCUAUCCUGCAGGCUUCACGGAAGCAACCUGAGGCACAUUCUGGCUCUAUCAGAGCCACCCUGGCCUUGCUGCAGCAAGGUGGCCGAAUCUAAUUUUUUCAGAUCACUGCCCUAUAUGACCGUGAGCUUCGAGUGAUCUCGAGAUGGAUGCUAUGGAUACACUUAACUGCCACCUCCCAAAAAGACAUUCAGAGUAUGAUGAAUUUUGUGACGGGAAAUUCAUUUUUCUAUGGCCAAAAAAAGGUUGGGAUGCUGAGCCUUCACGAGGAAACACUGAUUCACACCUCUGACAAUCAUAAGCAUUUUUAUAGAGGGCUCGCCAAAAUCUCUUGAUUUAAGCAACUAUUAUUUUAAUUCCAUGCACUGAUCUCAGUUCUGGAACGCAUGCAAUUAGUAGCAACAUACAGCAUUUAGAAGAAUUCAGGCACUCGGAGAUGCAUUUUUUUUCAUCUGGAUGUGGGGUGCUUUUAAGGAGAUCCUUUAUAGUUCAUUACGAAUGACUGGAAAUAUGGGGGGACCCAACAAUACCCUCCCCAAAAUGAAAAGGGAGAUCAGCUAAGAGGGUAGGAAGGCGGCAGGGAUCGGGCCGUGCACUUAGAGUAAUCCACAUUUGCUGAGAUUAAUUCAUCCCUGCACCGCGGAGUUUAGCAGGGCGCUGCAGGGGUUUGCUUUUGCUGGCAACGGGACUAUGUCCGACUCCCCGCAAGGGGCCUUUAGAGACAGCGACAGCAGCAACCCGCUUUCCUAAGAAUAUUCACCGGCACGGGGCUCCUUGCACACCCGCCGCCUCCCCCCGAAGGCCGCAGCACCAGCAGCCCCUUCCCGGCCCAGGCGGGCGAAGGGAAGCCCCAGUGCCGCAGCAGCCGCCCAGGAAAGCCCGCAAAAAUAAGCAUAAAGGCCCUGAACGGGCCGCGGCAAAGCCGGAAGACGCGGCAGUUAAUGUAUGCCGUAAAUAAAUACAAACAAACAAGGAAUAACA